CUGGGCGGACACUGCGGUGUUCGAGAAGGGUCUUGCGCAGUCCUGCACUGCGGCACUCACGCACUCCACUUUCCACCUCAGCCUGCUAGGCGAGUCACCUCGGCUCUGCGCUCUCGGCCGCCUCCAAGGCCUCCAAGUCACCUUUAAUCAUGAAAACCCAGGAGCCGGGAAGCUAGGACGCGGGCUUGAUCCUCCCACACCUGCGAGCUAUGGAUCUUCUGGAGUACACGAAAGGAGAUAUCGCUGGGUCCUCAGACUGUUGACGCGUCCUUCCAAGGAACUGAUAAGCCCAGGCCCCUAGGACGGGAUGCUAGGACUCCAGUGUGGGGCCUUGCUGUGAACCCCUUCCCAAGUGUUUGCUUCCCUGAUGGGCCUUUGCCAAAAGGCCCUCUUGACACCGAAAAGGAUGACGACUCAGGUUCUGCGGCAGCCAAUGCCCCUCCCCCAACUCUCUGCACUCACUGGUGGGGGCCACGGUCAAGGAAGCAAGUAUCCCGAAUUGACAGCUUGGUGCAGAGGGGACAUGCGAGGUGUCUCUAUCCUGAGAGGAAGCAGCUGGACCCUGGCGCUCCCAAGGAGCGUACUCCCCAGUGUGGAAAAACAAGAGAACGUGACUGUCUCAUGGUGAGCGCCUGCUGGGGCCUUAUCCAGGCUAUGGCGGUCUCCGUGGGCGUCCAGGGAGAGCAAGGAUGCUGACAUGGAACGUGCCUCCAGAGCUCGUUGCCAUCGGCUCGCCAGCCAGGAACACCUUUUUACUUUGGUAGGUAUGCAGAGGGAAGGGCCUUGACUCUGGAGACUUGGGGACCAAAGUUAGAGCGGAGGUAGUUCUGUCACUCCCCUUAGACAGAGCCACAGAAUGCCAGGUGGCACUAAGGUCCUUGCUCUCACAAGUAAGCACUGUCCGGGGAACCAGCAAUAUUAAACACGCAGGGUUGUCUCUUCAAAGGGAGAGAUAGAUAUCCUGUUUUUCCUCCCAGAAGGCUGGGAGCGGAGGUGUUUAAUAUCCUGGCGAACUUUGUGCUAUCUGUAUGACCAAGGCCAUGCUAGAUCCUCCCCUAAGAUUAUAUAUGAAUCUUAAGAUGUCAUAUAUAAUCAAUAUACCUAGUCGGCUAGGUAGUGGUGGUGCAUGCCUUUACUCCCAGUAUUCUGGUAGCAAAGGCAGGCGGGUCUCUGCAUUCCUCCCCUAAACCCUUAAGAUGUCAUAUGUAAUCAGUCAUCUGGGUGGUGGUGGUGCAUGCCUUUACUUCCAGGACUUGGGUGGCAAAGACGGGUGGAUCUCUGAGUUCGAGGCUCGCCUGGUCUACAGAGUGAGUCCAGGUUAGCCAGGACUACCCAGAGAAACCUUCUAUCUGGGAAAAAAAAAAAAACAAUAAAUAACUUUUUUAAAAAA